rnacentral:rRNA from 1 species
UACGUAGGGUGCAAGCGUUGUCCGAAAUUAUUGGGCGUAAAGAGCUCGUAGGCGGUCUGUCGCGUCGGAUGUGAAAACCCAGGGCUCAACCCCGAACUUGCAGUGGGUACGGGCAGACUAGAGUGUGGUAGGGGAGACUGGAAUUCCUGGUGUAGCGGUGAAAUGCGCAGAUAUCAGGAGGAACACCGGUGGCGAAGGCGGGGUCUCUGGGCCUUACCUGACGCUCAGGUGCGAAAGCUAGGGGAGCGAACAGG